rnacentral:rRNA from 1 species
GACGAACGCUGGCGGCGUGCUUAACACAUGCAAGUCGAACGGAAAGGCCCUGCUCUUGCUGGCUGCUCGAGUGGCGAACGGGUGAGUAACACGUGAGUAACCUGCCCUUGACUGUGUGAUAACUUCAGGAAACUGUGGCUAAUACCGGAUAGGAGCUCCUGCUGCAUGGUGGGGGUAGGACAGUUUCGGCGGUUGGGGAUGGACUCGCGGCUUAUCAGCUUGUUGGUGGGGUAGUGGCUUACCAAGGCUUUGACGGAUAGCCGGCCUGAGAGGGUGACCGGCGACAUUGGGACUGAGAGACGGCGCAGAGUCGUACUGGAGGCAGCAGUGGGGAAUAUUGCACAGUGGGGGGGAGCCUGAUGCGGCAGCGCCGGGGUCGGGAUGACGGCCUGCGGGUUGUGAACCGCUUUCGCCUGAGACGAAGGGUGGGUGACGGUAAUGGGUAAAGAAGCACCGGCUAACUACGUG